ensembl:lncRNA
CACCAUUUAGUCAGACAGACGGAUCACUCCCUCGAUCUCCCCUCUGGGAGAUGAGGAGAAGGCCCCCACCUGGCCCCUUCUCCCCCCACACCCUCCUCAGGGGUAACCUGGUCUGCCAGUUUAGGUGGAGGAAAUUCCCAGGUUGCCUAGGCGAUGAGGCAAUGUCCUGGGGGCACUGUUCUAGAAGAUUGGGCAGUGACCUAUGUGAUGUCACCAGGAAGCAGCAGAGAGGUGGUUCCAGAGGCCCCUCUGGAAGGGCGCAGGACAGAGCACUCUGAGGCCCCCAGAACUGGCUUGGCCUUGAGAGGGACGUGUCCUUUACAGUCUGAUGGCAGGUGGCAGGGGGCUGUGCAUCCCGUCUGGAACCGGAUCUAAGUGUUUGCCCAGGGCGGGUCUCCCACCUCUGUUGGGCCUCACUGAGCAAACAGCCCAAACCCUGCCCCAAGGGAGCUGCUAGAGCCUGAGGGAGUCACAGAGAGGCAGAACGAAGUCAGAGUCACCCACAUCUUGCUCCUCCUGGUGACAAUGUCACAGCCACAUACCAUCACACUAAUGUCCUGUCACAGUCCCACACAGCCACAUACCUCCUCAGUCUCAUGUGUGUGCCCACUGGCACAGGUACAUCUGUGGGCACACCAGGUCACCCAGAGAACCAAGGCAGAGUCGCCAGAUAAAACACAACACGCCUAGUGAAAUUUGAUUUUCCGAUAAGCAAAGAAUCAUUUUUAGGGGAACAUGGGAAGACUACCUCUCCCAACAGCCUAGUAGAUGUAAUCUCACCAAUGGGAACGUGGGCAGAGGAAUGGGAAUUCACUUCAGCUCCAAGGCAAUUAGGUGUCGGAGUGAAUCUUUUCCCCACAGCCUCCACUUUCAUCUUCUCUCCCAUCAGAGCAGUUGGGAUCAAAAAACUGAAAUGACAGAGCUGUUAGGUAGAAGCAAUUUGGUUCUGAGUCACUGCUGGAGGAGAAUACUGUACCAACACUGUCUACCCCAUAUUGUGAUAUGAGUGAGAAAGAAACAUUCGUUGUGUUAAACCACUGAGAUUUGAAGGUUUAUUUGGUACCAGAUGUGGUGGAUUGAAGAUGGCCAGACAUCCUUUGACACUCCUUUCAUUGAAGGCUGGGAUCUGUGUCCCCUGUUCUUGAGUCUGGGCUGGACUAUGACUGCUUUGGUCAACAGAAAGCAGAGAAAGUGAUGCUGUACCAGUUUCUGGGCUCAAGCCUUAAGAGACUAGCAGCUUUCUUACAUCAGUUGGCAUGCUUGUUUGGGGACUCUCCUUCUCAGAAUCCAGCUACCAUGCUCUGAGAAACCUAAGCCAUGUGGAGGGGCCACGUGUAGGUCCUUUGGUUUCCAGCUGUCAUAGACCUUCCAGUCAACAGCCAGCAUCUCCUGCCAGCCAGAUGGGUGAGCCAUCAUUAACAACCAGCCCAGCUGUCUUCAGACGACUCUAGCCCAGGCUGUGACUGCAACUACAUUAAGAGACUCAAAGUGAGAAUCACCCAGCUGAGCUCAGCCAACACUCAGAAUCAUGAGAGAGAUUAAGAAAUAGUUGUGUUAAGUAACAGAUAAGCCAAAGAUCACCGAACAGCCAUCCUGUCCUGACCACCGUGAAGAUGUGAGGCAAAGAAGCGCACUCUUGUACCAUUUGCAUUUUUGGCUAUGUGCGUGUUAUUUAUU